CCUGUUAGUGAGCAUUUCUAAUUUGCCAAGAUAAUCCAUCCACCUGACAGGUGUGACAUAUCAAGAAGCUGAUUAAACAGCAUGACAAUUACACAGGUGUACCUUGUGCUGGGGACAAUAAAAAGCCACUCUAAAAUGUGAAGUUGUGUCACACAAGACAAUGCCAGAUUGUCUCAAAUUUUGAGGGAGUGUGCAAUUACCAUGCUGACUGCAGGAAUGUCCACCAGAGCUGUUGCCAAAUUAAUGUUAAUUUCUCUACCAUAAGCCACAAGGUCGUUUUAGACAAUUUGGCAGUACGUCCAACCGACCUCACAACUGCAGACAAAGUGUAACCACGCGGGAUCGUCUGAGACCAACUACCGGGACAUCUGAUGAAACUGGUCUUGACCUGACUGCGUCGUAACUGACUUCAGUGGGCAAACGCUCACCUUCGAUGGCCACUGGCACACUGGAGAAGUGUGCUCUUCCCAGAUUAAUCCCAUUUUCAACAGAUGGCGUUGUGUGGACGAACGGUUUGCUGAUGUCAAUGUUGUGAACAGAGUGCCCCAUGGUGGGGUUAUAGUAUGGGCAGGCAUAAGCUAUGGACAAUGAACACAAUUUAAUUUUAAUUGAUGGCAAUUUGAAUGCACAGAUAUACCGUGACGAGAUACUGAGGCCCAUUGUCGUGCCAUUCAUUCACAGCCAUCACCUCAUGUUUCAGCAUGAUAAUGCAUGGCCCAUGUCGCAAGGAUCUGUACACAAUAACUGGAAUCUGACAAUGGCCUGCAUACUCACCAGAAAUGUAACCCAUUGAGCACGUGUUCCAGUUCCCGCCAAUAUCCAGCAAUUUCACACAGCCAUUGAGGAGGAGUGGGAAAACAUUCCACAGGCCACAAUAGCCUGAUCAACUCUAUGAGAAGGAGAUGUGUCGUCACUGCAUGAGGCAAAUGGUGGUUACACCAGAUGCUGAAUGGUUAUAUGAUCCACGCCCUUACCUGUUAUUUUUUUAAGGUAUCUUUGACAAACAGAUGCACAUCUGUAUUCACAGUCAUGUGGAAUCCAUAGAUUAGGGCCUAAUGCAUUUCAAUUGACUGAUUUCCUUAUAUGAACUGUAGCUCAGUAAAAUCUUUGAAAUUGUU